UUUUUGUUAGUCAAUUACUUAGGAAGUGGAAAGAGAUGUAUAUAUAUAGCUAACCUCUUUCCUUUUGGUGACUGUUAGUAGUAAAUAGUCUGGUGUUGCUUUUGCCACCCCCAACACCAAAGCCAUUCUGCCUAAUUAAGGGGAUGCCAAAUUGAACUUAAAAAAAAUUGAUUUUUUUUUUUUUUCAAAUAAGGAAAACCUGAAUUUUUCAUAUUUGAUAGAUGCAUGUAAAAGCAUAAGCAAAUCAAGGUCUAGGCCUCAGAAUUGUUCAUGCAAUUAUUGUUACAAGAAAGGACAUAGGAGAAAGUUCUGCUAUACCUAAAGCAAGAUAGUAAAGAAGGGUAGAAAGAAGCAAAUAAUGAAAAUAAUGUUAUUACAUUACGAUUGCCCGAAAUGACUUUUUCUUUGCCUGUGGUAAAACAUCAUCUGAUUUGUAUUCCGUGCUACUAAUUAAAUACGUAGUAAAUUCUGAAGCUUUAUUUCAUGUUACAUCGAAAAAAAGACUUCCUUUUGGCAAUACACAUGCAAUCAUGCACGCUUCCUUAUGCUUAACAUAUGUAUUAUUAGUUUUAGCAGGGUAAUUAUGAAUUUUCUCUUUUUUUCUAAAAAAAAGAAAGAAUAUAUGGUACUCCCUUUGUUUCUAAAUAAUGGUUUAUUUUAUUUUUUCUUUUGAUUUUGUUCCUAAAUAAGUGUUUAUUUAAGACUUCAAGAAUAAAUUUGUCAUGUUCUUUUAAAUUUGUUCUUGUUUAGAUUUUAUUCUGUCUCUUGAGUAGCUACAUCAACAUUCACAGAUGAUUUAUGCAAUUUAUAUAGCUAGAACAGACUAAUGCAGAUGAUAAAUGACCAUCUUUGUGAACAAGAGAAGUUUAUAUGAUUGUAGAAUGAGAAUCUAUGACAUUUUUACAGCAUCUCUACUUGAGAAGAUAAAAUGAAGCGAAUAAUGUGCAGAUUAAGUGGAAGAGCCACCUAGAAUAGAGACAAGAUAUUUCAACUUUAAUGAUGAUCUAAAUGCUCUCUAAAAGAUUAAUCAACUUAACCACAAGGGUUGGUGUGGUGGUUCAGCACCUCACCUCUUAAGCAAGAGGUUGGGGGUUCGAUUCCCACCUCUGGCGAAUGGAGCAAACUUUGUGGUCAGAGCAAACUUUGUGGCCAGUUCCUUACCACGGAGGAUUAGUCUGCCACCUUGGGAAACAAAAAAAGAGAUUAAUCAACUUUGUGAAAAUUGAAUUUUCACUUAGUCUCAGCAAGAAGAAUAAUGGUUAAAUUCCCUUAGGAACCAAGUGGAGCAAUUGCUUGAGAAGUUUCUGAUGAGAAUAAAUUUGAAAGGAAAAAGUGCCAGCUUACAGCAAAAUAUUUAAGCAUUUGUUGAGAAAGCUGGGAAAACGACUGGCUGAUGAGAAAGCAUUGAUGGAAGGAUGGAGUAAUUGCAUUGGAACAACAAUUUUGCUAUGCAAAGGAGUGAACUAGCCUGUUUUUGUUUUAGAUGGUUAAGAGAUGUGGUUCUUCCUUCUCUAGUCGAUCUGAUGCACCUGAUGGACAUGGUGCUCAAUAGGAUUCUAUCCAUGGCAGUGGUCGAGUUGGGUAUCAUCAAACUCGGCCUCGAACUA